AAGAUCACCGUUAAGACUUUAACACAUUUCCAUUUAGCCUUUUCCCUUCUACACAUUAAACCUUUUUUUUUUUUUUUUUUCAAUUUUUGAGACAGGAUCUCACUCUGUUGCCCAGGCUGGAGUACAGUGGUAUGAUCAUGGCAUACUGCAGCCUUGACCUCCUGGGCUCCAGUGAUCCUCCAGCCUCAGCCUCCCUAGUAGCUAGAAUAGUAGGCAUGCAUCAUGACCACCUGGCUAAUUUUUAAAUUUUUUGUAGAGACAGGGUCUCACCAUGGUGCCCAGGCUGGUCUUGAACUCCUGGCCUUCAGUGAUACUCCUGCCUUGGCCUCCCACAGUGCUGGAAUUACAGGCACAAGUCACUAUGCCCAGCCACAUUAAACAUUUUCAUCAUACUGUAUGUACAAAGCUUUAUCUUUUUUUAUGCCACUAAACGUUGUUCAGUUAUGACCAUUUCCCUAAUGUGACUAUUCUUAAUAAACAUGAUUUUAAUGGGUGCAUGGUAUUGCAUAUUCUGAAUAUGCCAUAAUAUAUACUGGUCUCCUCUAAAAAUAAGCGUUCAGGUCAUUUCCUUGUUUCAGUUAGAAACCUGUGAUGAACACUUUAUAUAUCAUGCCCCUCUGCAGUGCAGAUACUUUUGGAAGAAUCCCCUUAUAUUCUGUAAUGCUCAGCUUCAUCAUCUUUGAAUUAAUUAAAAGGCGCCUAUCAAUCUUUCUUGAAUGCUGUGUUUGAAGGAAUAAUGAGCCAGAGUUUGUGAAGGUGCUUUGAAGUAGCUGGAUGAAAGGGACUGUGUAAAUCAUAACAGUAGUAGCCCUGCCAGACUGCUCUCACCACACUUGUCUCUUACACUCCAAUACAGGGGCACCGCCACCCAUUCCCAUGCACCCCCACCACUGCUCAGCAAUUUUGCAUGUUGCUUCCAAAGGGGUUGCUCACCCCUGUAUCCAAACAUCACCACCACAGAUAUUCAGUGUCCUGCCCCACACUGCCAGCACUCCCCACCGAGCACACAGCUGGAAGGAAACUUCAAGAUAAUUUGGUCCAACAUCCCAUUUUUUGAAGGUCAGGAAACUAACAUCCAGAAAGGUUAAAUGAGUUUGCCUGGAAUUUCUUUUAAGGAGAUGCAUUUCCUAAGGGUCAUCAUAUUUCUAAAUCAGUAAGAGUGCUAAGUAAUAUGUUUUGUUAAAUCUGCAUGUUUUUAAAGAAACGAAUACAAGAGAAUAAUAACGUUUCCUUUUGGAAGGGAAGAUCUGCCUGCAUGGCCAGUAACCCAGAGCCCAAGCCAGAUAAAAAUAAUGAUUAACGAACGGAUAAACAGGCUCAUAUGCUUCAUACGUGAUAAAUUAAGGGUCUCAUACUGGCCAGAGAAUCAUGUUAUCUAAGUAAUUUUGAGAAGACAGCCCAUGACCUUAAUAAUUUGCCACUUGUUAUGGCAAAGUUAUUUUGAAAGUUUUCUAGGUAACUGAAGGUCCAGUGUAUGUGCCAGGCAUUUAGUAUAAUCUUAUCUUUCCCCAAAUGUGGACAAAAGUGGUUUUUUUCAGUCACAUAUACCACCGCAUUGAGAACUGGACAUUUGAUAAUCAUCAGCGAUUUUCCCUCCAGGGCCUCCUCAGAUGGCUUUUCUUGAUUACAAACUAUUUUGGAAACUCCAAAUUCUUUCCACUGAUUUAGCAACGAAUCCUCAACUUAUUUUUAAACUGCUGUAAUUGAGCAGCUCUGGGGGUUAACUUGUGGAGUCUGGUCACUUUUAGAUCAAAUUAUCAACCAAACACUCUGCUCUUACCAUCUUGGGACCAUCUUCUAUUUCUUUUGCUGAGAAUAGGUUAACCAAGGGACCUUGAAAUCAUUCAAAGCCACAAUACAAAAACAUCACUUUGGCUUCUCCCAAGUUUAUCCUACUCUUCAUCUGGUGCAAGGAAACGAACAGAAAAACCGGACCCUGUUAAUUAUUCCCAAGAUGACAUCAAUGUGCUCUUCCAUGGCCUUCUACAGCUUGGAGCUGAGCUCAAGGAGCAAGGAGUUAUAGCAGAAAGCACACUGGCCACCUGUUUAAGCGACUGGACCCUUUGAACACCUCUUUAGCUGAGCUUCUAGGUCAGCCAGCAGGAGAGAAGGAAAGAGGGCUUUGAGAGGAGAGAGGAGCAGCUCGACAAGAGGAGUGAAGGCCCCUAUCAGCUGGCUGCUGAGCUCCAGUGUCAACUGGUUGCAGGGAUGACCUACAGGGAGGGAUUUAAUGAGGAGCUGAAGUUGCUGGAGCAAAGUUGGAAGAUGCUGCACCCUUUAAGGCAAGUGGGCUUCCAGUGACAAAGGUGAUGGAUGAUGUCAUGACAGAGCCAAAAAAUUGAUGAAGUGGAAAUGCAGCAAAGCCAACUGCAUGAACAAAGAUGCUGUCAUUCAAAAACUACAGGAAAAGGCACUGUUACAAGCAUCUAUGACAGGUACUACUAUUAGCCUCAUUCAGAAGAUGAUAAAACUGAGGUGUGAAGAGAAUGCAUUAACUUGUACCAGGUUAGAUAAAAGUGCAAAUUCACAAAGGAACCAGUGAAAAAGGAAAACAGAAGGAAAACUCCUGAUGUGUAGGUUGAAGAGAACAUUCUGUCUUCAGAAAUCAGAGCAAGAAAAAUGGAAGGUAAAACAUGUUCCAGGGCACCAGUCAGAGCCCCACAAGGCUGUCUGCCCUGGGAAAUGGCGCAAGAUUAGAAGGAGGCACUGGGGGUGUUAUCGCAAGCAGCAGCUUGCCCCUUAGUAACCCCUGUCCUCCACAGGCCAGGCUGCAAUAUUUCACAUAAACGCUGGUACUGUACUCUGAACAUCAGGGACCUCUACACCCCUCACAAACAGCAAAUGCAGUUAAGACGCCAGAAAAAAAAAAUGGUAUCAAAUUGUUUAAAAACUCUACAAUAAAUGGUCCAAUAUUC